rnacentral:rRNA from 1 species
UACGGAGGGUGCAAGCGUUAUCCGGAUUCACUGGGUUUAAAGGGUGCGUAGGUGGGCAGUUAAGUCAGUGGUGAAAUCUCCGGGCUCAACCCGGAAACUGCCUUGAUACUAUCUGUCUUGAAUAUCGUGGAGGUAAGCGGAAUAUGUCAUGUAGCGGUGAAAUGCUUAGAUAUGACAUAGAACACCAAUUGCGAAGGCAGCUUACUACCGAAUAUUGACACUGAGGCACGAAAGCGUGGGAUCAAACAGG